AUUCACUUCCGAAUUAUAAGCACGACACAUGAGGACUGAGCUAUGCUAAGGUUUAAGGUUUGUGUUGUACCCUAAAGUGUUGUCUGCUUGGAGAACUCAACAACAAGAUUAUCGUCACUUCAACUGAAGCCAUGAAACUCCUUCAAACCAUCUUCCGCGAACACAGAAGAAGAUCUGUGAUGCUCGCAGGCAUUGGGCGUCGUUACUUUAAUACAGCCACUGAAGAAUAUUCCAAGAGAAAUUACGCUGUUAAUGAAUUCGAAUACACCACUGUGCUCACUUCUCUUCAUGCUCAGCGGAGGUAUUAUUUGGUGAGAGAUGUUUAUGAUGAUAUGAUGCUGGAUGGUGUUAAACCGGAACUAGAUACAUUUCAUUCUCUUGUUGCUAGUACGAUGAAAGGUGCUCGAUUGCAGGAUGCUUUUUACUUCCGGGAUGAAAUGCGGGCCCUCGGUUUGGUUCCUGAUGUAGCUUUAUACAACUAUUUGAUCUCAACCUGUGCGAAGUGCAAUGAGUCUAACCAGGCAACUCUCAUUUUGGAAGAAAUGAAGCAUUCUGGAGUCAAACCUACUGGACAAACCUUUAUCUGUCUACUUAGCGCGUAUGCAGCUGCUGGCCGACUAGAGAGAGUGUAUGCAGUUGUUCGUGAUAUGACUGCUGCUGGCCUUGGUUUGAACAAAUUCUGCUAUGCAGCACUGAUAACUGCACAUAGGAAUAAGAUACCUCUUGCAGAUGACACAUCCGCCAAAAUCAUCGGGCUUGUUGAGCAGUCUACAGGGUGGUCAGACAUCGAAAACUCAAAAGAUAACGCUGAAAAUGCGGUGAUUGGUGUAUCAGAAGAAGAGUUAUACAGUCUCCCAACUGCUGAAUAUGUUCACCGCCGAUUUGGAAUUGUUAAUAGGAAUUUAACUGUAUAUCAUGCUGCAUUUCAUGCUCUUGCUGAUCUUAAGGAUGUAGAGGCAAUUGAUACUCUCUUGGAGAUGCUUAGACGAUCAAAUGAUGGGCAACCUGAUAUCUUUAUUGGGAUGCAAGUUAUGAGGUGCUAUCUGCAUUCUGGUGACCUUGAUCGUGGUUUUAACACUUUUGUAGAAUGCAUGAGAUCUGGUGCUCCCGUAGUUGAAGUAUUUGUGACCUUUAUUGAAGGAGCCAUGGUUGGCUAUACUCCCAAAGGAAUGCAACUUGCUGAAGAAAAACUGAAAGAAAUGGCAUCUAGGAACUUCUUCUUGAGCUCAAAAAUGGGAAAUGAUCUUCUUAUUUUAGCCUCAGGCGAAAAGACUGGUGGUUUUACUGUUGCGAAUCUGAUUUGGGACAUGAUGCAAAGCAGUAAGUCUGCCAUUUCACUUCCAGCUGUUGAAGCAUAUCACCAAGGCUUAAAGGAUAGAGAGAUUCCUCAUGAUGAUCCACGACUCUCUUUAGUCUCAAAAACUUUGGAUGAUUUGCGUAAGAAAAGUGGAUUUUUAUCAAACUGGACAAACGCAACUCAAAAGGAUAGUUCUGUGCAAUAAGGGUUGUUUCAUCUCACGCUCAGAUGCUUGUUGGGAGCACAGGAUCAAUAAUUUAGGGAUUGAAAUCAGAGGGCGACUCAUGCAGAGAUGGAUCCAGAUGUACUGCUGUAAAAACCGGAAGUACUUGCCAGCCUCUGGGAAUGUGAUAAUCUCUAAAUUUUACAUCUUGUAAAGCUCUUCUGUGCACAAAUUUCACUAGAUUCCCACACCUCAAAGUUUCAUUUACUACCUGCAUAAAAAAAUUGUUGACGAGUAUUCCUUGAUUAACGUUAGGGACGCUGAUGAAAUCUGGUAAGCUUUUUUCAAAUAAACUCAGUUUGCUUUUUAGUCGAAUCAAUAAAGCACAUAUUUCUUUGUUCAA